GGGCCUCUGCUUAAGGACAACUUUACUUUGCACAUAUAUAUGUUUUGUGAACUAAAUUAACGUUGAGUGUAGUGGAUAGGCAGGACAGUGGCUGAUGGCACAGCAGUGGCAGGGAAGGAGGCCUUGUCUCCUCCCAGAAUGAGAACUGUUGGCAUCACAAUGUCAGAACUCCACACAGUUGUAUGGUCUGGGGUCAGACACAGCCUGUGAUGGGACGGAGAAGGGAAAGGAAGAGCAGGCACCAUAUUGUGUAGUAGCCCACGGGAUCGUCAACUGCAUCUUAGUACAGGUCGUGUGCUGACUGCUGAGCUGCAAAGCUGUGCCUCCUCAAAGGUCUGCUCUGUCCAUCUCUUCUGUCCUGUGAGCCACUGACCUCCACAUCAAUGGCAGCUGAACAUUAAUGUGAUGAACAAUGCUUUACUUCCAGACAGCCUGCCGCAUGGCUUGGGAGGAGGAAAGAGAGGAAAAACAAAGGUGAAAAAGAGGAUGGCUGGUAUUUACCUGAGCCCUGUGUUCAUGACUCAAUUCCUACUCUGUGCACAUUGCUCUCUAACAGUGAAGGAAAUAGAAUUCUAAUGCUUUCAUAUGCAGUGGAUAUAUCCUUUUCUCUUCUGGAUGGAUAGACAAAUAGGUAGAUGUUUAUGAACAGUUCUUUGUCACAUGGGAUUGUAUAAAUUCCCCUCUGGGAAGUGAAAAAGCUGCAGUGAAGAUUGAUAGCAAUUCCCUGGGAGAGGUAAGCUCUGACUUCUACCAAACUCCUGUUCCCAGUUCUCUCCCAUGGAGGCUGCUGACAUCCAAGCUCUUGCUGCUAGGAUCACACAGUCUUUGAGGGACUGCCUUCUCAUGGUUGGAAAUCUGUGGACACAUGGAAACACUGUGCUAGCUCAAAGUCACUGCGACUCUUGUGUUGUGUGCUGCACAUCAGUUGUAUUCAUGUUGUGUGUGUUCCUGUGGCAAACAUUUUUAUGAAACGAUGUUUUCAUCACAGAAGCUAAAAGUAGGAUGACUUUCUCCAUUGCAGUGCAAGUAUUUUCUUUAUAAACUUGUUUAUUACUUAUCUCUGGGUUUAAAAGAAAAAGAGAGGGGGAGAGAGAAACAGAUACUAGUUUUCUGCUGCCCAUACAACACCAUUCUGUUUCCUUGCUUGAUUUGUGUUGGUUUUAUUUCAUCUUGUAAGGCUGGAGGUUUUUUUUUGCUCAGUUGUAGGUUAUUCUGGUGAGGGGGAGAUGAAGGUGCACUAAUUCAUCUGUGCUUCUGUAGAAGAAAUAAGAGGGAAGGGACUGUAACAAACUCAAACCAGAACACAUCCUUAUAGUGUAACCAUUAGAAUAUAAGUGGCCUGAAGUUAAAGAGAGUUUACACAGCCAAUUGUCCACUUAGGAAAGUGUAUAUAAUGUCAGUCUGAAUGAGAAUAAAGUCAUGCUAGGUGGGGAAUCAGUGGGAGAAUUAAACGUAUUCUCAGAGAUGUUAUGACUGAGUGGGUCAUAAAGUUUCAGAAGUUCAAUUUCGCUGUUAAGACCAAU